CAACGAGAAAUACAAUUGGAACAAAUAAAUCGUUAUAUUUGAUUAUGUAGCAAUUAAUAUUUGAAAAAUACUCCAUUUGGAAGCUAAUUUUUUUUAUUUUUCUUCCCUCCCACACACCUAAAAGAGAGGGUAUUCAUGCUCUUUGCCACAUCAGCAUCUAGGAGGGUCAAGACUAUCAAAUUUUCAAGUUCGGGAGGGGGGGAGGGGGGGGUUAUGGGUAUUAAAGACCACAAAAAAUUUAAGGGGGAACUAAGCAAAAGUUGCCCAGUCUAGGGGGGUCCCGAACAUUUCUACCCAUUGAAAAAUAGCAAGAAAAGACCAAGUCCAAGUGAACGAUUGGAAGAAUUAAAGUUGUAACCUAAGUUGCUCCGACAUGGCAGUUUAGGUGCCGCACCCGUGUCGACACGACACUAGUAUGGGUGUGGGUAUGGGAUCCGUAUAGGAUCUGGUCAAACAAUUUUGGGUACUUUGACCACGACGGACAGAAAAAUUCGAGACGAGAUACAAUUUGAUUACCAAAAUCAAAACUAAAACUAGGGUAAAUUUGAAGAAAAUAGCAUAUCUUAUCUAGGUAAAUAAUCUUUUAUUUAUCUAUAACUUGAGAAUAAAAAGAAAAUCCACACUUUACAAGCUAUACGUAACUUUUCCACAAAAUUUCUCAUAAAUUAGAGAGAUUUCUAUUUUUUAAAAUUAUUUUUAGCCUAAUCCCCGCACCCGUAUCCGUACUAGGAUCCGUAUCCCCGAAUUUUAAAUUUACAUCUUGAAAGAUCCGACCUCUAGAUCCGCACCCGUGUCGGACACCCGCACCCGUGUCCGAGCAACUUAGGUUGUAACUGAAGGCCAAAAAUUUACGUAGCCUACGAUGCGAAGCACGUAGCUUACGUACCUAGAAAAUGGGAUUAAGAUGAAGACUGGGAUGUUCUGGUUUUGCCUACGUGAAGCACACAGCCUACAUGGGGAAAAAUCACCUGAAGAAGCUGAAGCUCACGCAGCCUACGUGAAGCCCUGAAGAAAGCAGCCUACUUGAAGCAUGAAUCUGAAGCUAGGUGGGGCCAACCAAAGGCAAUUUUGUCCACUUUUGGGACUUGAUAUAUAUAGAAGUUUAGGUCAUUUUUAGGUCAUCUUUGCUUCUCAUUUGUACUCCAUAGUAGCCUUUAGCUAAUUUGGGAAGGAUUGGAAGAUCAACAACACCUUGUUUGG
rnacentral:lncRNA from 1 species